rnacentral:rRNA from 1 species
UACGUAGGGUCCGAGCGUUGUCCGGAAUUAUUGGGCGUAAAGGGCUCGUAGGCGGUUUGUCGCGUCGGGAGUGAAAACUCACAGCUCAACUGUGGGCGUGCGGGCGAUACGGGCAGACUAGAGUACUGCAGGGGAGACUGGAAUUCCUGGUGUAGCGGUGGAAUGCGCAGAUAUCAGGAGGAACACCGGUGGCGAAGGCGGGUCUCUGGGCAGUAACUGACGCUGAGGAGCGAAAGCGUGGGGGAGCGAACAGG